UACGAAGGGUGCAAGCGUUACUCGGAAUUACUGGGCGUAAAGCGUGCGUAGGUGGUUUGUUAAGUCUGAUGUGAAAGCCCUGGGCUCAACCUGGGAAUUGCAUUGGAUACUGGCAGGCUAGAGUGCGGUAGAGGAUGGCGGAAUUCCCGGUGUAGCAGUUGAAAUGCGUAGAGAUCGGGAGGAACAUCUGUGGCGAAGGCGGCCAUCUGGACCAGCACUGACACUGAGGCACGAAAGCGUGGGGAGCAAACAGG
rnacentral:rRNA from 1 species